rnacentral:rRNA from 1 species
UAAAGUGGAUUAGCGGCGGACGGGUGAGUAACACGUGAGUAACCUGCCUUAGACAUUGGGAUAGCCUCGGGAAACCGGGAUUAAUACCAAAUAAAAUCAUAAUGACACAUGUCAUAACGAUCAAAACUCCGGUGGUCCAAGAUGGACUCGCGUCCCAUUAGCUAGUUGGUAGAGUAAAAGCCUACCAAGGCGACGAUGGGUAGCCGGCCUGAGAGGGUGAACGGCCACAUUGGAACUGAGAAACGGUCCAA